CUUUGACCGGUACGGGCCGCGGGAGCGGUAGCCCGGAGAUGGACACUGAUACAAGGGUCCAUGCCCUACGGGGCGCAGCAGUCGCGAAAACUCCGCAAUACACGAAAGUGUGACGGGGCUAUCCCGAGUGCCGUCCGCUGAGGAUGGCUUUUCUCCAGUGUAACAAGCUGGAGGAAUAAGGAGAGGGCAAGUCUGGUGUCAGCCGCCGCGGUAAUACCAGCUCUCCGAGUGGUAGGGAUGUUUAUUGGGCUUAAAGCGUCCGUAGCCGGCUUAACAAGUCCUCCGUCUAAUCCAGCGAUUCAAUCGUUGGACUGCGGGGGAUACUGUUAGGC
rnacentral:rRNA from 1 species